rnacentral:rRNA from 1 species
AUUGAACGCUGGCGGCAGGCCUAACACAUGCAAGUCGAGCGGAUGAAGGGAGCUUGCUCCUGGAUUCAGCGGCGGACGGGUGAGUAAUGCCUAGGAAUCUGCCUGGUAGUGGGGGAUAACGUCCGGAGACGGGCGCUAAUACCGCAUACGUCCUGAGGGAGAAAGUGGGGGAUCUUCGGACCUCACGCUAUCAGAUGAGCCUAGGUCGGAUUAGCUAGUUGGUGGGGUAAAGGCCUACCAAGGCGACGAUCCGUAACUGGUCUGAGAGGAUGAUCAGUCACACUGGAACUGAGACACGGUCCAGACUCCUACGGGAGGCAGCAGUGGGGAAUAUUGGGCAAUGGGCGAAAGCCUGAUCCAGCCAUGCCGCGUGUGUGAAGAAGGUCUUCGGAUUGUAAAGCACUUUAAGUUGGGAGGAAGGGCAGUAAGUUAAUACCUUGCUGUCUUGACGUUACCAACAGAAUAAGCACCGGCUAACUUCGUG